UACGGGGGGAGCAAGCGUUGUUCGGAUUUACUGGGCGUAAAGGGCGCGUAGGCGGCCUGCUAAGUCGAACGUGAAAUCCCUGGGCUCAACCCAGGAACUGCGUCCGAUACUGGUUGGCUUGAAUCCGGGAGAGGGAUGUGGAAUUCCAGGUGUAGCGGUGAAAUGCGUAGAUAUCUGGAGGAACACCGGUGGCGAAGGCGGCUUCCUGGACCGACACUGACGCUGAGGCGCGAAAGCUAGGGUAGCAAACGGG
rnacentral:rRNA from 1 species